rnacentral:rRNA from 1 species
ACCGGCGCACGGGUGAGUAACGCGUAUCCAACCUGCCCAUCAUUGGGGAUAACCUUGUGAAAGUAAGACUAAUCCCAAUGACGUCUCUAGAAGACAGUCUGAAAAGAGAUUUAAAAGGAUUUUAUCGGUGAUGGAUGGGGGAUGCGUCUGAUUAGCUUGUUGGCGGGUAACGGCCCACCAAGGCGACGAUCAGUAGGGGUUCUGAGAGGAAGGUCCCCCACAUUGGAACUGAGACACGGUCCAAAACUCCUACGGGAGGCAGCAGUGAGGAAUAUUGGGUCAAUGGACGAGAGUCUGAACCAGCCAAGUAGCGUGCAGGAUGACGGCCCUAUGGGUUGUAAACUGCUUUUAUAAGGGAAUAAAGUGGGAGUCGUGACUCUUUUUGCAUGUACCUUAUGAAUAAGGACCGGCUAAUUCCGUG